rnacentral:lncRNA from 1 species
AUUGAAAAUAAAGUUGCACAAAUCUAAACUUUGAUAAUGACAAUGCAAGCCACCAAUCAUAACUACUCGUUUCUAUAGCAGUACAUUGAGAUGAGCUUUCGAUGAAUGAAACCCAUAAAAAUGAGUAGUUGCGAAUGACUGUAUGCACGAUCAUAUGGUACAUGUUGUAUAGAAUUAAUCUGAUUUCUCAAAGAGAAACAAUCUAUCUAAUGGCAGA